rnacentral:rRNA from 1 species
UACGUAGGCAGCAAGCGUUGUUCGGAGUUACUGGCGUAAAGGGUGCGUAGGCGGUUGUUUAAGUUUGGUGUGAAAUCUCCCGGCUCAACCGGGAGGGUGCGCCGAAUACUGAACGGCUAGAGUGCGGGAGAGGAGAGUGGAAUUCCUGGUGUAGCGGUGAAAUGCGUAGAUAUCAGGAGGAACACCGGUGGUGUAGACGGCUCUCUGGACCGUAACUGACGCUGAGGCACGAAAGCGUGGGUAGCAAACAGG